rnacentral:rRNA from 1 species
CCUACGGGAGGCAGCAGUGAGGAAUAUUGGUCAAUGGCCGGAAGGCUGAACCAGCCAAGCCGCGUGAAGGACGAAGGUGCCAAGCAUUGUAAACUUCUUUUGUCAAGGGACAAAAUCAGGCUCGAGAGCCUGACCGAGGGUACUUGAAGAAAAAGCAUCGGCUAACUCCGUGCCAGCAGCCGCGGUAAUACGGAGGAUGCGAGCGUUAUCCGGAUUUAUUGGGUUUAAAGGGUGCGUAGGCGGGCUGUUAAGUCAGCGGUAAAAUCCCGGGGCUCAACCCCGGCGCGCCGUUGAAACUGGCUGUCUUGAGAUGUCGAGAGGUAGGCGGAAUGCGCGGUGUAGCGGUGAAAUGCUUAGAUAUUGCGCAGAACUCCGAUUGCGAAGGCAGCAUACCGGCGGCGGUCUGACGCUGAGGCACGAAAGCGUGGGUAUCGAACAGGAUUAGAUACCCUUGUAGUC